CGGGCAGUUCCGUGACGGGACGUGAGAGGCGGGCUCUCCGCUCUGGACACGCUCCCAGCGUGGUUAAAGUGAAGUGCGAACCCCGGAGACGCUGAAGUGUCGGAGCUGCUGGGAGAGGCGACGGGCGCGCUGACCCCAGGCCCCCCCGCCAAUCCCGGAGUGUGUGUGAGGUUGAUGCCCGGGAGAGGCGCUCCCUGCCCGGCUCUGGUGGUGCCUGGAAGGAAGCACUCUUCGGUCCCCGUGCCCGCGAGCUUUGACCCGCAAAAAGGAAGAACUGAGGAGAAAACAAACUAUGAAAGUAUUGGUUAUUGGCCUUGGAGGUGUAACAAAUGGGGGGAAAACAACGCUAGCAGAAAAGCUUAAGAAAAUGCUUCCCAACUGUGAUAUAAUCUCUCAAGAUGACUUCUUUAAGCCAGAGUCUGAAGUAGAAACAGAUGAACGUGGAUUUAAGCUAUAUGAUGCACUUGAUGCCCUCUAUAUGGAUGAAAUGGUGACAAAGAUUCACAACUGGAUAAAAAGCCCAGCAAGCUCAGGGGCUGUGACAGAAGAGCCACAGACUGCAUGUGACAAUGAGAAAAAUAUUUAUAUUUUGAUUGUUGAAGGCUUUCUGCUUUACAAUUAUAAGCCACUUAAUGAACUUUGGAAUAGAAGAUAUUUUUUGACCCUUCCUUAUGAAGAGUGCAAAAGGAGAAGGAGCACCAGAGUCUAUCAGCCAGCAGAUACUCCGGGGUACUUCGAUGGACACGUGUGGCCUAUGUAUCUGAAAUAUAAAAAUGAAUUGGAAGAGAAUGCAAGUAUGCAAGUUGUUUAUUUGGAUGGAACAAAAUCCCAAGAGGAGCUUUUAUCCUAUGUGUAUAGUGACAUAAUGCAGGAAUUAAACAAGCUGAGGGAAGAAAAUCAGCAGGUCACAGCAUGAUAAUGUAGAAAGCCUGGGUCCCAUUUGACACGAAUUGAAAACAAGACUGUCAUGUUUGGCAAGCCAACCAACUGAGCAAAUGUUAUGUGCGUGACUGAAAUGCUAGUUCAUACAACACAAGUGUUUUUGUACUAACUAUUCACUCUAGUGCAGGGGGAUGGGGAAUGGAGGUUGUGGUCUGCUCAUGGGAUACUGGCUCUACCACUCCUUCCUCCUCACAGUCUUCUGCUGCUUCAGAGUGGGGUCCCACCCAUCGGAGCCAGUCUUCAACAUCCACCUGCUCUUGCAUGGUGAUUCAGAGGAGGUGCUGCUACUUUUCUCCCUUGUAAGACUGGUGGACACAGAUUUUCACUGCUGGGCAGUUGCAGUUUCUAUAUUUAGAGGAAGUCCAUUGUGGAGUUAAAAGAAGGGCAGCUGAUCAAGGGAAUGAAGAAGCUGCUUUGUGAGGAGAGACUGAAAAUGCUGGGACCCUUCACUGUGGAAGGGGAAGACUGAGGGGUAAAAGGGUCAAGAUUGACAAAAUCUUGAAAGCUGAGUCAAAGGGAUGCAGAACUAGUAUUCACCAAAUUGUACAAAUACUAGUCUGGGUGGCACUUCUGCAUUUGAAACAGAUUGACCAGUUAUAUUAAGGUGAUAUUUCACACAGAUAAAGAUGAUACUUCAUGCAGCAGACACUGAGCUUCUGAGAUGUAAGGCCAUAGGAGGCAGAUAGUACCAGCAAGUUCAAAGCGGAUUUUGAAGAUUCAUUGACACCUCACCCAUAAAAAAUAGUAAAAGAAACAAGAAGGGCUAUAUCAGGGAUGGACUGUAGAAAAUGACCAGGCUCACCGGGUGUACCUAAAUUCUGUGCUCUUGCCAGUUACUACAGCAACUCAGUGGGGAAAAAAUAAUCAAUGAAUAUGCAAGGAUCAUUGAGUCCAACCCUUAGUUCUGCACAGGACCAUUUCCAAGAGUCACACCAUGUGCCUGAGUGUGUCAUCCAGAUGCUUCUUGGAAUCUUGUCAGGCUUGGUGCUGUGACCACUUCCCUGGGGACCCUGUUCCAGCACCCAACCACCCUCUGGAUGAAGAAUUUUUUUCUAAUAUCUAAUUUAAACCUCCCCUGGCCAUUCCUUGGGUCCAGUCACUGGUCACCACAGAGGAGAGAUCAGGGCCUGCCCCUCCUCUUCCCCUCAGGAGGAAGUUGUAACUGCAAUGAGGUCUCUUCUCAGUUUCCCCUUCUCCAGGCUGAACACCCCAAGUGACCUCAGCUACUCCUGAUAAGGCUUCCCCUCAAGGCCCUUCACCAUCUCCGUUGCUCUCCUUUGGACACUCUCUAAUGGCUUAAUAUCUUUCCUAUAUCGUGGUGCCCAAAACUGCCACAAUAUGCAAGGUGAGGCCACCCCAGUGCACAGCAGAGCAGGACAAUCCCCUCCCUCGACCAGCUGGGGAUGCUUUGCCUGAUGCCCCACAGGACAUGGUUGGCCCUCCUGGCUGCCAGGGCACUGCUGACUCAUAUUCAACUGGCCAUCAACCACGACCCCCAGGUCCCUUUCCACGGCACUGCUUUCCAGCUUCUCAUUCCCCAGUCUGUACCAACAUCCAGGGGUCCCAUUCCAGGCGCAGAAUCCCGCACUUUCCUUGUUGAACUUCAUAUGGCUGAUGAUUGCCCAGUCCUCUCAUUUGUUCAGGUCUCUCUGCAGGGCUUCCCUACCUUCAAGGGCGUCCCAACAGCUCCUCCCAAUUUUGUGUCAUCUGCAAACUUGCUUAGCAUCCCUUCCAGUCCUGUGUCCAAGUCAUUUAGGAAGAUGUUGAAGAGCUCAGGUUCUGAGCUGGAGCCCUGUGUAACCCAGCUAGUGACAGGUCACCAGUCUGAUGUUACCUCAUUCAACAUUACCCUCUGUGCGUGACCCAUGAGCCAAUUGCUCACCCCCAGCAUGACGUGUUUAUCCAGCUGUGGGCUGGAUAUUUUGUCCAGAAGGAUCUUUGAGAGACAAUAUUGAAAGCUUUACUGAAAUCCAAGAGAUUACAUGAACUGGCUUCCCCUGAUCAACUAGGUGGGUUAUCUUAUCAUGAAAGGAAAUAAAGUUUGAUAAUACUAU